CAAAGAAUUUUGGGCAAUGGGCGAAAGCCUGACCCAGCGACACCGCGUGGGGGAUGAAGGCCCUAGGGUCGUAAACCCCUUUUUCAAGGGAAGAGAAAGGACGGUACCUUGAGAAUAAGCCCCGGCUAACUACGUGCCAGCAGCCGCGGUAACACGUAGGGGGCAAGCGUUACCCGGAUUUACUGGGCGUAAAGAGCGCGUAGGCGGCUGAGUAAGUCUCCUGUGAAAUCUUCCGGCUCAACUGGAAGAGGUCAGGGGAUACUGCUCGGCUUGAGGGCGGAAGAGGAAGACGGAAUUCCCGGUGUAGCGGUGAUAUGCGUAGAUAUCGGGAGGAACACCAGAGGCGAAGGCGGUCUUCUGGGCCGUGCCUGACGCUGAGGCGCGAAAGCGUGGGUAGCAAACCGGAUUAGAUACCCCCGUAGUCC
rnacentral:rRNA from 1 species